rfam:Candidatus Burkholderia verschuerenii strain TZHbot4 BVERctg149, whole genome shotgun sequence.
GGAAGGGCGACCGACCGUGGGGAGGAAGCGUGGAGCGAAACUGCGGGCCGAUGAACAAGAACCGGAUAGAAGGCGCUG